GUUGUGCUGCGCUGCUCUGCUUUGCGCUGCGCUGCGGGCGCGGCUCGGCGCCCCGCGGGUUGGGUCGUUGCUUCCUGUCGCGUUGUUGUUGUUGACAUGGGAACCGACAUCGCUUUCUGUUCCAGAGAGUUGGAAGCUAAAGCUACCAAAGAAGUCGAAAGAAAACUAAGCAGGGCUUUCCUGCCUCACUUAUGUGGAACUGAGAGAAGGGAUUUAGUGCAAGAAGAGGAAGAACAGUUGAUGGAAGAAAGGAAAAAGAGAAAAGAAGACAAGAAGAAGAAGGAAGCUGCUCAAAAAAAGGUAUGUUGUGUUUAAAAAAAAAAAAGGGUACUUGUGGAUUUUGCUUUAUUAGUAGUAAAUAGUGUUUGAUCAGUUCUUUAACAACAGUGUUUUCUUAAUUUUUUUUAAUGCUUUAUAUGUGCUGUCAGUUAUGUAAUGGUAACUGACAUCUUGAACAUCUUAACUGGCUUUGUGUACAGAUUAUUUAGAGACUAAAUAUUCUUCUGAGAUGACCGCUCACUUUCCUGAUUCUGGUCUCAAGCUGAAAGCUUCCUCUGUCAGUUCUCCCUGUUUGUUGGCCUAAACAAAGGUGUUCCCUGUGCACUAAUGGAAAAUUAGGUAUGUCUGAUCUUACAGCAAACCUAAGUUAAAUCGUAUGUAAAGGCUGCUUCUGAAAAAGGUGAGGUGUUUGCUCAUGUUCCAAAGGGAGAGCUUCCCUAAUCUUUUCAAUAAGUGACAGCAAAACUGCAUAGUAAUUUUUGGAUCUCAGUUGUAAAAGUAUAACUCAUUUUCCUCUUGAAAUUUUUAAUCAGAGGUUGAAAGGCAACUAGUUUACUUAAAGAAUGUAAAUCUUUUAAGAGGUUCUCUUAGCCCC
rnacentral:lncRNA from 1 species